ACACGGAGGGCGCAAGCGUUGCUCGGAAUCACUGGGCGUAAAGCGGGUGUAGGCGGUCUAGCAAGUCAGAUGUGAAAGCCCACGGCUCAACCGUGGAAGUGCAUCUGAAACUGCUAGACUUGAGUGCCGGAGAGGGAAGUGGAAUUCCUGGUGUAGGGGUGAAAUCCGUAGAUAUCAGGAGGAACACCGGUGGCGAAGGCGACUUCCUGGACGGCCACUGACGCUGAGACCCGAAAGCGUGGGGAGCAAACAGGAUUAGAAACCCCGGUAGUCC
rnacentral:rRNA from 1 species